rnacentral:rRNA from 1 species
CCCUAAGAUGUUCUGGGCGGCCCGCGCACUACAAUGGCGCUUUCAGCGAGUUCCUAUGUUGAAUUUUCCUGGGUAUUCUUGGAAGCGGCGUCUUGACUUGGGAUAGAUCCUUGUAAUUGUUGGUUUUGAACGAGGAAUUCCUUGUAAUCGCGGUUGAUCAGCUCGCGUUGAAUACGUCCCUGCCCUUUGUACACACCGCCCGUCGCUCCUACCGAUGAAUCGUCCGGUGAAGUUCACAGAGUGGCGGUUCGUGGAGUUGCUCGCGAAGUGAAAUGGACCUCACGAUUUAGAGGAAGGAGAAGUCGUAACA